rnacentral:rRNA from 1 species
GACGAACGCUGGCGGCGUGCUUAACACAUGCAAGUCGAACGGAAAGGCCCUGCUUUUGUGGGGUGCUCGAGUGGCGAACGGGUGAGUAACACGUGAGUAACCUGCCCUUGGCUUUGGGAUAACUUCAGGAAACUUGGGCUAAUACCGGAUAUGAGCUCCUGCUGCAUGGUGGGGGUUGGAAAGUUUCGGCGGUUGGGGAUGGACUCGCGGCUUAUCAGCUUGUUGGUGGGGUAGUGGCUUACCAAGGCUUUGACGGGUAGCCGGCCUGAGAGGGUGACCGGCCACAUUGGGACUGAGAUACGGACCAGACUCCUACGGGAGGCAGCAGUGGGGAAUAUUGCACAAUGGGCGGAAGCCUGAUGCAGCAACGCCGCGUGCGGGAUGACGGCCUUCGGGUUGUAAACCGCUUUCGCCUGUGACGAAGCGUGAGUGACGGUAAUGGGUAAAGAAGCACCGGCUAACUACGUG